rnacentral:misc_RNA from 1 species
CAGAGUUGCAAAAACUCCCUAAACCAUUGUGAACGUUACCUAAACCGUUUGCUUCGGGCGGGCGGCCCGGGUCCUUCCCGGCGCCCCUCGGCCCUCGCGGGCGCCCGCCGGAGGUAAACCAAACUAUUGCAUUGUAUGGCCUCUCUGAGUCUUCUGUACUGAAUAAGUCA